rnacentral:misc_RNA from 1 species
UCCGUGUUAACCACGGCAGUCUCGCUAGAGUGCCCAACUUAAUGCUGGCAACUAACGACAGGGGUUGCGCUCGUUGAGGGACUUAACCCGACAUGCCACCACACGAGCUGACGACAGCCAUGCAGCACCUGUCUCUUUGUCAUAUUGCUAUGAAAGCUGUAUCUCUACAGUUGUCAAAGGAUGUCAAACCUAGGUAAGGUUCUGCGCGUUGCUUCGAAUUAAACCACAUAAUCCACCGCUUGUGCGGGCUCCCGUCAAUUCCUUUGAGUUUUAGUCUUGCGACCGUACUUCCCAGGCGGGGUACUUAUUGCGUUAGCUCCGAGACGGCAGGGGUCAACUCCCACCAUCUCUAGUACCCAUCGUUUACAGCGUGGACUAC